rnacentral:rRNA from 1 species
GACGAACGCUGGCGGCGUGCUUAACACAUGCAAGUCGAACGGUGAAGGGCCUGGUUUUGCUGGUCCUGGAUGGGUGGCGAACGGGUGAGUAACACGUGAGUAACCUGCCCCCUUCUCCUGGAUAACAGCAUGCAAGUGUGGCUAAUACGGGAUAUCCUGUGUCUGUCGCAUGGUGGGCCUGGGAAAGAUUGCGCCUUUUUUGGUGUUCUUGGUGGGGGAUGGGUGCGCGGCCUAUCAGCUUGUUGGUGGGGUGAUGGCCUACCAAGGCGGUGUCGGGUAGCCAGCCUGAGAGGGUGAACGGGCAUGCGGGGGCUGAGAGACGGACUGGACUCGUGAGGGAGGCAGCAGUGGGGAGGAAUGCAGAAGGGGCGAAAGCCUGAUGCAGCGAGGCCGCGUGAGGGAUGGAGGCCGUCUGGGUGUGAACGGCUUUCGGCAGGGAAGCAGGCCUGGCUCGUUUUGUGGGUGGGUUGAUGGUAGCUGGAUAAGAAGCACCGGCUAACUACGUG